rnacentral:lncRNA from 1 species
GCCGACAGUCCAGGUGUGCAAAAGACUAAUGAGAUGGCAUUUAACUACCCACAUGGAUUCCCUUCCGGCACAAUGAGGUGGAUUAUUAAAGAAAUGCCAUUUAUUUAAUGAAACCCAAUUUUUGAUGAGGAUGGAUUCUGAAAUUAGGGUUUUUUACUUUUCUUAUGUGAAAACCAUAGUGAGGUUCGAGGUUAAGCAAUCUUCUUUCCAAUCUUGGUGGUUGAGGAGUCAUGUUUACUUCCCAAUCUUCUUCUUAUUGUUGUUGCAAUAGCUUGGGCCACCAAAAUUGUCAUUCCUCACAUGGUGGUGGUUCAAUGGGGGUAGGGAUAAUCCUCAUUUGCAAUAAUAUGCAGCAUGUUAGGCCUAAAAGCCACAAUCUGCAACAAACUAGACCCCAACAAGCACCACUUCCUAAAGCUUCCAAAAUCAGAAGGCAAGAACCCCAUUUCCCCACCAAUUUCUCUGCAUUACCAAAUCCACUCUUUGUUGCACCAUCUCCACUAUUCACAAAAAUCUCAGCCAAAGGGGUUAUCCACAACAAAGAUACAAAUAUAACUAGCA